UUAAGAGAAUAUGGGUUCCAAAAGAAACAAUUAUAGCUAACCUGCAAGGACCCAAAAGAGCUUGGGUUUCUAAGUUGAAAACAUGAUCAUUUUUAGCAAAUGUGUCUAGCUACCCAAGAUUCCAAUGAAAGAUGUUAUCUGGACAAUGGGUUCUCUAGACACGUGUUAAAAAAUGGAACUUAAAAUAUAAUUAAGAAGAGUGACCAAAAUGGAAGAAAUAAUGAAAUUAGUAAUCCUUGCAUCCUCUCAUAUUGAAAUUGUAGCUAGUAUUAAUCAUUUCUGUGAUAUAAGUGAUACUUUUGGUAUGAAAAGAAAAUAUAUCCAAAUCACUCCAUCUUCCUAUAUUAUGUUUUAGUUAUUGAUGGAUAAUUUACUUAAUCAAUACUCUUAGAAUAACUCUUUGAAUUCUCUAUAU
rnacentral:lncRNA from 1 species